rnacentral:rRNA from 1 species
CCUGGCGGCACUAGCGCGGUGGUCCCACCUGACCCCAUGCCGAACUCAGAAGUGAAACGCCNGAAGUGAAACGCCGUAGCGCCGAUGGUAGUGUGGGGUCUCCCCAUGCGAGAGUAGGGAACUGCCAGGC